ensembl:lncRNA
UAAUUAGACUACAAUAUCCAUGGAUGUAGCCUAAUAUUUUAUCAUAAUGCUUCAUCACACACUGUGUCUAUGGCCCCAAAUACUGUACCACCUUUUCAGACUAUUUACAGUAUUGACAGUACUGCACUGUAUAGAUGCAGGCCCUUGUAAUUGCUUGUCCAAUUCUGCCAACUUGUUACUGAUGACUGAGUGCACAUUGUGGAAUGAGUAUAUAGUAAAGAGUUGAUUGGGAUCCAAUUGCAAGAGCAUAGUGAUACGUAACAUGGAGCCAGCAGGUGAUCCAGGUCACAAUGGAGGUCAAGCAGUGGUGAGAGGAAGACGAGGAAGACGUGUUGGUCAAAGGAAUGGCAGGGGACAGGCACCCCUUCUGAGAGGUGGUUGUGGGCCUCGUUUCAGAGGUGUGGGGGAACGUGGUAGAGGACAAGGCUACGGACCAAGACAGCGGCAGCAACAGCAUAGAGUGUCCAAUGAAAUUCAGGCAAUAGUUUUAGACCAUGUCAUAAAUCAUGGCAUGACAAUGACUGUGUGUGUGUGUGUGUGUGUGUGUGUGUGUGUGUGUGUGUGUGUGUGUGUGUGUGUGUGUGUGUGUGUGUGUGGGCAGGUUGUAGGCCACUCGCUGGUGCAGGUGAAUGCCAAAAUGCUACUCGGAAAACCGUGGCUUCUGAAGCCUUAUGUAGGAAUUUCCCUGAAGAACUUGAAGGCAGCAAAAGUGGCAAUGACAAUUUUCACAGACAGAACCUCAGCUAUUCCACAAACUCACAAGAGUCUCCUGCUCAGCUUGUACAUGGAGAAGGAAAUCCAGAAUCAGAGAGCGGAAGGAAAGGACCUUUGAAAAGUAUCAGCUGCCUGUGGCUACUCAGCCUGAGCCUUGUCACAAUAUACUAAAAAAGAUCUAGUAGGAACACCAGGCUGACAGGUGGAACAACAUCCGAUUUGUGAAAAAAAAAAAAAAAUUCUAUUUAGUUCCCAAGGCAAACCUUCAAACACCCAACAAACUACACACUAAACAUGAGAAAUGCAGUAAAUAUAACAGAUAUAUACCAAUGAAAACCAACAUCUGUGUACAGGGGAGCAGGUACGAUUCUAACACUUUUUGUUUUAACAUCUAUAACUCAGUGUUGUUUAAAUGUUUUAUUUUGUUUAUCUCAAACUUUUAUUUAAUUUAUUCACAUUUAUCUGCUACAAAUUAAAGUUGUAUUAAAAUCUACAAUCUACAAAUGCCUAAACUAUGAAAGCAAA